UGGGGAAUAUUGCACAAUGGGGGAAACCCUGAUGCAGCGACGCCGCGUGAGUGAAGAAGUAUUUCGGUAUGUAAAGCUCUAUCAGCAGGGAAGAAAAUGACGGUACCUGACUAAGAAGCCCCGGCUAACUACGUGCCAGCAGCCGCGGUAAUACGUAGGGGGCAAGCGUUAUCCGGAUUUACUGGGUGUAAAGGGAGCGUAGACGGCGAAGCAAGUCUGAAGUGAAAACCCAGGGCUCAACCCUGGGACUGCUUUGGAAACUGUUUUGCUAGAGUGUCGGAGAGGUAAGUGGAAUUCCUAGUGUAGCGGUGAAAUGCGUAGAUAUUAGGAGGAACACCAGUGGCGAAGGCGGCUUACUGGACGAUAACUGACGUUGAGGCUCGAAAGCGUGGGGAGCAAACAGG
rnacentral:rRNA from 1 species